rnacentral:lncRNA from 1 species
AAGUCAAUUCUACUUAUCGACUAUAUUUUAUCUUUUAAUCUAUCUUCUAUUUAACCAAUGAUAAUUGGAUAUGUCAUUUUUAUUUUGCAACAGUUUGUAAGUCAUUAUAUUAUAUUAUUUGAAUUUAUUUUUAAGCUUUCUUUCUCCCUGCUCCAAUUGACAAUAUAUAACGCAACUGUAAUAAUUGUACAAUAGUUUGUAAGUCAUAAUGUGCAUAAAUUUUAAAAUUUUCUUCCCCUCUGAUCAACAAUGAUUGCUUUUAUUUCACUAUAGCAAGUGAGUCAUAAUGUAUACUGUUAAAUUGUAACUUGCCUUUUGAUCUAAUCAAAAAUUUAAAAAAUAGAGAGCAGUAAGUCAAAAAUGUGUAUCAUUGCUUAAGUUUUUAACUCUUUUUUUCCAACCAUUAUUUAAAUAGCAAAGAUUUGUAAGUCUGAACAUAUGAUAUUAUCAUCAGUAAUAAUAUACACUUAUCUAUUUAUUUUUUCUCUACUUCAACCAUUGUAAUUCUCAGAUUGUAAGUCAAAUGUGUUUUAUUAUUUACAUUUAAUCUAUAGUCGGUUUCAGUUGAGUUUGACCACUGACCCACCCUUAUAACUUCUCUAUAAUUUAUGCUAGCAACUUGAAACUUGGUAUAGUUGCAAAACGGGUUCUUCCGAAAAUCUGUACCAAUUUUGGAGUCUCUAGGUACUCUGGAAGGUUCUCAAAAGGUUCUUUCGGUCUACAUGAAAGGGAGCCGCCAUGAUGUUUCAUGACGUGAAGCUUCGUGAAUAUCAUUUGCAUCUCAUUAAAUAUGUCAAUAAUCAUGUUUUUAUUAUUUUAAAAUCAAAUAAAGCAAAAGGAGCACUCUAGGCCAAGAUAUAAUUGAACAAGAAGACUUUGCACUCCAGAAAAAAGUCUCACUCAGUCUGCUGUACUUCUCUAAGCCUUCGUUAUUUGUCUUCAACAUUGCCGCUCAGAAACUCAGUUAAAAUUUUGCAUCUCUCGAUUCUUUCUUCAGGCAGUAAGUGAAAAUUUCAAAAUGUGUUUUAGUCAAUUUAACUUUCAUUUGAAACUAACAAACAAUAAUUACACUUCCUACAAAAUAGAGACCAUUUGUAGGUCAUACUGUGCU